AGAACUCGCUCCCGCGCGGCCCGAGCCCUUCGCCGCCCGUCUGAGGCGCAUCUCCUGACAAAGAGAAGAAGGCGAAGCCUCAUAGCCGCCCUUCCCUCCGCCGUCCCCGCCCCCGCACGUUCGGCCAGGCGUGCCCCGCCGGCCCCGUUCAGAGGCGAGCGCCGGGCAACCCCGGACGCCGCCCUGAGGGUCACUGCCGCCUACGAGUAGCCGAAGUUUGGGCUCCCACCCUGCGCGGGCACGAGCCCAUCCCUCAUCUCCUUCCCCUCGGCCCCAGGCCGCGCGGAGCUACCUGGAAGCCCCUCUCGUACCUGGAGGGGCGCAGCCUCCACUCGUGGCCCAGUGCCACAGCGGGUCACGGCGCAGGGCGGCGAAGACGCGCGGAGACGGGGGCUCUGUCACCCACUCGCCGCUGGUGGUGGGGGAAGGGCGGCCACCGGCGCGCUCGCAGCACUGCACAUGCGCAGAAACAGGGGCGCGGGCCGUUCCCAGGGUCCUCGGAGGGGUGGACCAUCCACGUUCGGGACUACAUUUCCCACAAGCCUCCGGGGCCGCGGCUUUAGGGACUCUCAGGAAAGUCUUCGCCUUGUUAGGCGGUCUGAUGAGCCGACCAAAAUAAUCUCCUUAGCCUGCACUGUUUUCUUUUUUCCCAGAGUGGGUCGUGAACUACAAUUCACCACCUCCCCCUUAAAUACAACAACUUGGCUUUUAAACAUUACACAAAUAAUCUAUAACUGUAUUUAAUUAGAAUAUAUGUACAAAAUAAAGUAUCCAUAAUCUCACUUUCUAAAGAUUAACUGCGUAUAACAUUAAGUUCGCACUUUGAUUUUUUUGUUGUUGUUACAAAACUGGCCAUAAAGGUAUCAUGUGCUGCAACUAGCUUUUUUCCCUUUUUUCCCAGGCCACUUUGUUGAGGUAUAUAUAUUUGUUGAGAUCUAUAUAUUUAAGAUGUACAACUUGAUAUCUACAUUUGUGAAAUAUUCACCAUAAUCAAGCUAAUUAACAUGUGCAUCACCUCACAUAGUUAUUUGUCUGAUGAGAACACUUAAGAUCUAUCUUCUUAGCAAAUUUCAAGUACACAAUAUUGUCAACUAUCGUCACAUAGCUGUGCAUCUCCCCAGAACUACUCAUCUUGCAUAACUGAGACUUUGUACCCCUUGACCACCAUCUUCCCAUUUCCCUUCACCCUCAGUUCCUUUC
rnacentral:lncRNA from 10 species